rnacentral:rRNA from 14 species
UUGUAUGACCAUACUACCCUGAAGAAGCCUGAUCUUUUCUGAGCUCAAAAACUAAGCAGGGUCAGCCUAGUUACUAUAUCAGUGAGAGAAUAGUCAGUCAUCUUAGGUU